rnacentral:rRNA from 1 species
GCUAAUACCGAAUAUUGAAACAUAAGUGGCAUCACUGAGUUUUGAAAGAAUUUCGGUGGAGGAUGACUUCGCGGCCUAUCAGCUAGUUGGUGAGGUAAUGGCUCACCAAGGCAACGACGGGUAGCCGGCCUGAGAGGGCGACCGGCCACACUGGGACUGAGACACGGCCCAGACUCCUACGGGAGGCAGCAGUGGGGAAUAUUGGGCAAUGGAGGAAACUCUGACCCAGCGACGCCGCGUGCGGGAUGAAGGCCUUCGGGUUGUAAACCGCUUUCAGUAGGGAAGAAGCGAAAGUGACGGUACCUACAAAAGAAGCACCGGCUAACUAUGUGCCAGCAGCCGCGGUAAUACAUAGGGUGCAAGCGUUGUCCGGAAUUAUUGGGCGUAAAGAGCUCGUAGGUCGUUUGUUACGUCGGAUGUGAAAACCUGAGGCUCAACCUCAGGCCUGCAUUCGAUACGGGCAAACUAGAGUUUGGUAGGGGAGACUGGAAUUCCUGGUGUAGCGGUGGAAUGCGCAGAUAUCAGGAGGAACACCAAUGGCGAAGGCAGGUCUCUGGGCCAAUACUGACACUGAGGAGCGAAAGUCUGGGGAGCGAACAGGAUUAGAUACCCUGGUAGUCCAGACCGUAAACGGUGGGCACUAGUUGUGGGAACCUUCCACGGUUUCUGCGACGCAGCUAACGCAUUAAGUGCCCCGCCUGGGGAGUACGAUCGCAAGAUUAAAACUCAAAGGAAUUGACGGGGCCCCCGCACAAGCAGCGGAGCAUGCGGCUUAAUUCGACGCAACGCGAA